rnacentral:rRNA from 1 species
UACGUAGGGGGCAAGCGUUGUCCGGAUUUAUUGGGCGUAAAGCGCACGCAGGCGGUCUAUCAAGUCUGACGUGGAAUCUCUCGGCUUAACCGGGAGCGGUCGUUGGAAACUGAUGGACUUGAGGCGAUGAGAGGGGUGUGGAAUUCCCGGUGUAGUGGUGGAAUGCGUAGAUAUCGGGAGGAACAUCAGUGGCGAAAGCGGCACCCUGGCAUUAGCCUGACGCUCAUGUGCGAAAGCGUGGGGAGCGAACGGG